GACGGAAGGUGCAAGCGUUGCUCGGAAUCACUGGGCGUAAAGGGUGCGUAGGCGGCCGUGUAAGUCUGGCGUGAAAGCCCCGGGCUCAGCCCGGGAAGUGCGCUCGAAACUGCGCGGCUCGAGUGCCGGAGGGGAGAGUGGAAUUCCUGGUGUAGCGGUGAAAUGCGUAGAUAUCAGGAGGAAUACCGGUGGCGAAAGCGACUCUCUGGACGGCAACUGACGCUGAGGCACGAAAGCGUGGGGAGCAAACAGG
rnacentral:rRNA from 2 species